rnacentral:tRNA from 1 species
GCCGCGUUAGCUCAGUUGGUAGAGCAUCGCUCUUGUAAAGCGAUUGUCGAGAGUUCGAUUCUCUCACGCGGCU